rnacentral:rRNA from 1 species
GAUGAACGCUGGCGGCGUGCUUAACACAUGCAAGUCGAACGGAAAGGCCCAAGCUUGCUUGGGUACUCGAGUGGCGAACGGGUGAGUAACACGUGGGUGAUCUGCCCUGCACUUCGGGAUAAGCCUGGGAAACUGGGUCUAAUACCGGAUAGGACCACAUUUUGGAUGGUGUGGUGGAAAGUUUUUCGGUGUGGGAUGAGCUCGCGGCCUAUCAGCUUGUUGGUGGGGUAAUGGCCUACCAAGGCGUCGACGGGUAGCCGGCCUGAGAGGGUGUACGGCCCAAUUGGGACAGGGAGCCCGCCGGGACACAGCCGGGGGAGAGGAGGGGGGAAAGUAGAACAAAGGGGGCGGGCCGGAAGCAGCGCGGCGGGGGGGGGGAGGAGGGCGUUCGGGGGGUAAAAGCCCUCCACGAGGGAAAAAGGGCAAGUGGCGGUACAAGGAGAAGAAGAACCGGCAAAAUACG